GACAGAGGGUGCAAACGUUGUUCGGAAUUACUGGGCGUAAAGCGCGUGUAGGCGGCUCGGCAAGUCGGGUGUGAAAGCCCUGGGCUUAACCUAGGAAGUGCACUCGAAACUGCCAAGCUUGAGUUCUGGAGAGGAAGGCGGGAAUUCUCGGUGUAGAGGUGAAAUUCGUAGAUAUCGAGAGGAACGACCGGUGGCGAAGGCGGCGCUCUGGGACCGACGACUGACGCUGAGGUGACGAAAGCGUGGGGAGCAAACAGGGAUUAAGAA
rnacentral:rRNA from 1 species